UCCUCAAUGGUUCAUGUACUCUUCAUUCAUAGGUGUCUUUGAAAGACAAGAGUAUUCCUAUAUUAGAAUUCACUCCCCGUAG
rnacentral:tRNA from 1 species